GCCAGUGUGGUAUAAUGGUUUAAGUGUUGGACUGCAACUCUAAAGGUCAGGGUUCAAUUCCCCACUAAGCCA